UACCAGCACCCCGAGUGGUCGGGACGUUUAUUGGGCCUAAAGCAUCCGUAGCCGGUUCUACAAGUCUUCCGUUAAAUCCACCUGCUUAACAGAUGGGCUGCGGAAGAUACUAUAGAGCUAGGAGGCGGGAGAGGCAAGCGGUACUCGAUGGGUAGGGGUAAAAUCCGUUGAUCCAUUGAAGACCACCAGUGGCGAAGGCGGCUUGCCAGAACGCGCUCGACGGUGAGGGAUGAAAGC
rnacentral:rRNA from 1 species